rnacentral:lncRNA from 1 species
AAUUGCAACUUUGAUGCCAAAGGCCAAGGCCACUGUCAAACAGGUGACUGCAAAGGGCGCCUCGAGUGCCAAGGCUAUGGAAGUCCUCCAAAUACGAUAGCUGAAUUCUCCCUAAACCAGCCUAACAACUUAGACUACAUCGACAUCUCCAACAUUGAUGGAUUCAACAUCCCAAUGGAGUUCAGCUCUGUAACUCCGUGCCGCGUUAUCAAAUGUUCAGCACCUAUUGUUGAUAAGAACUCCAGGUGGAUGCAACAGCCCCUGCACUGUUUUUAAAAGAAAUGAGUACUGCUGCACCAAUGGCCCAGGAAGCUGUGGCCCGACCGACUUCUCCAGGUUCUUUAAGAGCAGGUGCCCUGAUGCUUAUAGCUAUCCUCAAGAUGAUCGCACAAGCUUGUUUACUUGCCCAAGUGUUACAAAUUAUAGGGUUGUCUUCUGCCCUUAAAGAAAUCCAGAUAUUUAAGGUUCUUGUGACAGCUUAUAUGCUCCAAGAACUUCACUAGAAAAAUAAAUUAUGAAGAAAUAAACGCAUAUGUGAUCCUUCUGGCAAUGGUUCACUGGAAUUGGAAUAAAUUUGAGCACAUAUAGCAUUGUGCGAUUUGUCUUCUUUAUCAGCUUUUUGGCUCUUUAAACAACUUAUGAACUAGAUCACGAGUUCAAAACUAAUGAAGUUUUACUAAAUUAAUCUGUAAGAAGGAUUUACAGAUCUCUAGUUUUAAAAUAGACUGUCAAAAUACUUUGUUCCCCGCACUUCAAAAAUUUGAGUCAUGUUUAGGUUUAACUUACAUAGGAGUAUUCAUUUGUUCUUUUUUUUUUUGGAAUUCAGACUAUCUCUCCAGUCAAAUACUAAGAUGUCAUAUAAAUGAAAAUAAUUGUUUUAAGUGUACUACACAAUCAUACUUUAUGUAUAUAAAUGUUACCACGAAAUCCAGAGUAAGAGAAGUUUGUCUUACAAAUAUUGAAGAAAUGGGAGCUUGGUGUAAAUUCAAAACAAAAAUGGGGAUUUCCAUACUAAGGUAAACCCCAAAACAAUUGAAAAUGAUCAUCUCAUGAAAUAACAAAGAUGGUGAUAUGAAAGUUUACUAAGUAAGAUAAAGGUGCGAUUAAGGAGCUCAAGUGAUGAGGAAACUCGUAGAUGCCAAAUUGAUAAUUUGAUGCACUCAUGCUAAAUAGUACUAAUUCACUCCUAAAAGCUGGAUUUGGAGCCACUGCUAGCAGUUCCAUGAAGUUCAGUUCGAUUGUUAUAUUUAUUACGUUAUAUUGUUAUGCUCUUGGAAAAAGUAAUAUGCAUGAACGAAAAUACUUGGUAUGUAAUGAAUACAACAUUAUCAUGUAGUUGUCUACCAAAAAUUUAAAUAUACACAAUAAAAUAAUGCAUAUCUAUUCAAAUUAUGUAUCAGAAAAGAGUUAAAUGUUACUAUAAGGAUAAAAAAUUAAGUGAUUAUAUAUUUGUUUUGAACUAUAUUUUUAGGAAAAUCAUAAUAUAGCAUCUUAUUAAUAACUGCUUUUGUGAUAUUAAAAGAUGUUAGAAAUAAUUCCUGAAAUUAAUCUGGUUAAAAAACGCUCCAUUCAAACAGAAAAUUCAUGUCUUUUUUUUUUUUUUUUUUUUCCUUUUUUCUCUUACGUAGAGGUAAUCCACAAAUUGGACACUUACGAAAAAGCAUUGGAACAUUGAUUGAAAGAACAAUCAAGUUCACAUGAUCAGAUUAAUAGAACAAAAUGAGGGAUGAGAACUGACUGAAAUUAUGCAGGAGGAUUAUGGACAGAUCCGCAUCUUUUGAAUCAUUCCUAGGAUACAAAACAAGACCAUCAACAUCCCUAAAAUUUCUUAUAUAGAAAUUUGUUGAAAUAUCUACACGAACAUGCAAAAUCAUAGCAGCCAAUUCACCUAUAUAAACCCCCUGGCUGUGGCAUCUCCAAACCACAACAGCUACUAGUUGACUUAGAAGGUUUGAAGCACCAUGAAUUUCACCUACACUUUGUCCCUUUUGGUUUUGUGCCUAGCUUUAUACUUAAGCUUCACCAAUAGCUGCAAAUUUCAACAUUAAGAAAAUAAACACAUAAAACAAUUAAACCUUUACCAUGUAUUCUCUUUUACUUAUUGAUCAGUCAUAUCAUGAAAUAGAAAAGGGUUGUAGAAUUACUUAUAGAAAUAUAUUCUAGGGUAAUGAUAUAUAUUCCAUAUGAUUGAUGAGAAACGAAAAUGACUUGCCUGCCUUUCUUCAUCAGAAGAGUACCUAAUAGCCCCACUAGAAUUGCCAGUACAUAUAAGAAAUAAGAUGCUGUAAAACCAAAAAGAGCAGUGCAGCCACCGUUGGCUUCUAAAUAUCAGCAUAGUGAUUGUUAUGGCUAGAACAACUAACCACCCAAAAGCAUGUUUUAACUUUUCCCUAAAGUUGUGACUUAAAUGUUCAACAUGACAACAGGGUUUUCAUUUCAAUUGUUCUAAAUGCAAGAUCGAGCUGUAAUAUAUUUUUUUCCUUUUAUUUAAUGUAAGUGAAAGCAUUCAAAUUUACGACCUCGUACUUGCACUCUCUUCCCCUGAACUAUCCAACCGAUCCCAUCCCCUGAGCUGUAUUUAUAUUGACUUGUCUUGUCAUAUUAAUUAAUAUCUUUUAGCGUUGGAAAGGAAAUACAAAAAGUUUAAACAAUAGUGAUAAUUGAGUAAUUUUUCUGAGAUCUGAAUUGCAAAGUGCAAUACCUUGAAGGUGUAAAUUGACCUACGUACCCACAAGGUGUAAAUUGACCUACGUACCCACCUUCCAUCUUUUCCUACUGCUGGACAAAUAAAAUAAUAUUUCUUUGCUCAAUAUAAUAGUGGAAUUGGUAAGAAUUAGAAGAGUAUUUCUAUUUCUAGUCAAAGAAAAUUGAACAAAUUUGACAAAUUUCAGUUUAAAAAUAUUGGACAAAUUAUCGCUGCCCAAUACGGGCCCAGUCCAUCUAAAGCACACUUGAAGCAUAGAGCAGAUUGAUUUGGUUGUUUCCAGUUGGGCUUCCGGUCCUUGAUCCGUGUCUAUUAACGAAGUUGUAUUGUCAAUAUUGGGUCGUAUAAUCCACCAGCCCAUGGAAUUUAAUUUACAAAAAUAAAUUUCUUUUAAGUUGUGAAUUUAAUUAGUAGAACGAGAAACAAUUCAGAAAAUUAGUAUAAAGUACAAACCAUAUAGUACAUGUUUUUCUCAAUAAAAUACCAAUUAUGACUAGCUUAAGGAAUUGAUAAAUAAAUAACCUUUGUUCAGCUUUUCCUUUUGGGUGAUUCCCAUUAAUAAAAUCAUCUUUGUUCUCUCAAAAAAAAAAAAAAAAAAGAAAGAAAGAAAGAAACGAACUCCAUCCUUUUAAGUGGUAAAUAAAAUGAAUACAAAGAAAAAUAUAAAUAAAUAUCUUAACACUGCAAAAAAGAAAUUGAUAUUGAAACAUACUGAUAUUUAAGAAGUUUUAUAAAUUUUGGCAUCACCUACAGAUAAAAUGAUAUCUCUGUAAUGUGCCUUUUAUUUACUAUAAAAAAAAAAAAUACGUUACAGAGGUUCCAGUGGCAAAGGUAGAAAUACUUUUCAGUUGGGGCACGAAUUAACUUUCGCAAUUUUUUCCAAUUUACAAGUGGCCAAUAAUAACAAAAGAUUAUUUUUUUUUAAAAUGAUCAAAUCUAAUAGACUUGAUAAACUACCACUGCUUUGUUGAUGAAAAAUACAAAGUUAUGGACCAAGGCAAAGUAAAUAUGCAAGCAAAAGUACGUUGGAACUCGGCAUCUAAAGAUUUGCAGCUAUUUGCUUUCUUCUUUGGUUUACUUUUUGAUAAAUUACAAUAAUGACUAUGCUAUAUAAUAACUAUUACAAAAUCCAGCCAAGGCACAAUUUAGAAUUUUCAAGAAAUCUCAAAACUAUUCUAGGUACCUCUUUUAGGUCAAUAGGGACACGUGCCCUACUGGCCACAACGUAAAUCUACUCUUUUUUUUUAGGUAAAAAAAAAAAAAAAUUGGUUGAAUUUGACUUCGAUCAUUAUCACAAGUCAAAACCUGUUUUCGGAACUGUAAGUCGCUUACACAAGUUCUUACAGAUCACCCAUUUUUUUAGUAAAAAAAAAAAUAAAGUUUGGUUGAAUUUGACUUCGAUCAUCAUCACAGGUCAAAACCUGUCUUCAGAACUAUAAGUCGCUUACAGAAGUUCUUACAGAUCACCCAACAACAGAGAUCUCACAAUGUAAAUCUACUUAUAGGUUCUUAGUUCGACGAUCUUAAGCUUUCCUUUGCCAUAAUAAAGCAUGAACUACAUUUAAACUGCACUCCUUACACUGGGCACAAGUUGCAGUAAAUGAAUUAUGAUUGAAUAUGAAUUUAGCAUUUCAGGCUUUUAGCAACCACAAAUGCUAUUCUGGAAAGUUGCCAAAACUAAAGUUUAAGCACAAAAAACUGCUUGAACACUUCACGAAACGGCCCAAAUUGGGCUUUUAAUUUUUUUUUUUUUUUGUCCAAUUACUUGAGUAAGCUCCACGAAAUCCUGGACUAGAAACUCUUGUUCUACUUGACAUCCUUAUUGAAUUGUCUAAGCUUCUUGAAGCCAUUUGCCUAACAUUCGCUGGUCUCAGACAAACAGACGUAUGGUCUUGAUUUGUGCCCAUUCGGCUGCACCAAAAUCCUGUUGAAACUCUAGACUAAGAGGAAAAUUCCAAAGAAAAAAAAAAUGAAAACAGAAGACUUUAGGAGUUAUGAAAUUGGCAUUAGUCUCCUUGGGUGUGGAAUUUGAAAUCAUCAUCAAUACUAACAUGUUGAUAUUGACUACCCCAUAACAGAAAGUUAUCGCGAAAAUAAUUAGAUGCUAAUACCAAACGUUUUAAUCUCUAACCAUCAUUUCUUAUGUUAAACAUAGGUUUUAGCGUAGCUAAUCAAUAUAUGUACAAUUGCUAAUUUUUUCCACUAAUUAAGUCAAAAGAUAAUUGUUUUGAACGGUGUUUUCGCGAAAAUUCCAAUAAAAUAUUUUGUUAAUAAACACAUUUGAUAUUUUCAGAGAUGUUAGAUAGUGAUUCCUGAAAACAGUGAGGUUGAAAAAACAAUUCAACCAAACAGAUAAGCCAUGUCUGUUUCUUUUUUCUAUCUUAGAGAAAAUCCACGAAUUGGACACUAAAGAAAAGAAAUUGUAACAUUGAUAUAUAGAACAGUCAAGUUCACAUCACCAGAAGAAUAAAAAAUGGGGGAUGAGAUUAUGCAGAAGGAUUAUGGACGGAUAAGCAUCUUUGAAUCAUUCCUAGAAUACAAGAAAGGGCCAUCAACAUCUCUGAAAUUUCUCAUGUAGAAAAUUUGUUAAGAAGAUUAACAUGUACACGCAAAAUGAUAGCAGACAAUCGCCCUAUAUAAACCCCCUACCUGUGGCAUCUUGAAACCACAACCAGCUACCAGUUCACUUUGAAAGUUUGAAACACCAUGAAGUCCACCUACACUUUGUCCCUUUUGGCUUUAUGCCUAACUUUAUACUUAACCUUCACCAAUGCUGCAAAUUUCAACAUUGUAAACCAAUGUACCUACACAGUUUGGGCAGCUGCUUCCCCAGGCGGUGGCAGGAGGCUCGACCGAGGCCAAUCAUGGUCCCUAAACGUGGCUCCUGGCACCACCCAAGCUCGCAUUUGGGGCCGAACCAAUUGCAACUUUGAUGCCAAUGGCCAAGGCCACUGUCAAACAGGUGACUGCAACGGGCGCCUCGAGUGCCAAGGCUAUGGAAGUCCACCGAAUACGCUAGCUGAGUUCGCCCUAAACCAGCCUAACAACUUAGACUACAUCGACAUUUCCAACGUUGAUGGAUUUAACAUCCCAUUGGAGUUCAGCUCCGUUACCAAUUGCCGUGACAUCAGAUGUUCAGCUCCUAUUGUUGAUCAAUGCCCAGCUCAGCUAAGAACUCCAGGUGGAUGCAACAAUCCCUGCACUGUUUUUCACACAAAUGAGUACUGUUGCACCGAUGGCCCAGGAAGCUGUCACCCGACCGACUUCUCCAGGUUCUUCAAGGACAGGUGCCCUGAUGCUUAUAGCUAUCCUCAAGAUGAUCCCACAAGCUUGUUUACUUGCCCAAGUGGUACAAAUUAUAGGGUUGUCUUCUGCCCUUAAAGAAAUCCAGAUAUUUAAGAAAAGUAGAUUAUGAAGAAAUAAACGCAUAUGAGACCCUUCUUGUAAUGGUUCACUGAAAUUGGAAUAAAUUUGAGCACAUAUAGCAUUGUGCGGUUUGUCUUCGUUAUCAGCUUUUUGGCUCUUUAAACUACUUAUGAACUACAUCACUGCUUACUAAAUUAAUCUGUAAGAUGGAUUUACACAUCCCUUGCUCUGACCCCUUCUUGCAUUUCUUCAAUUUCAAAAUUGAGUUACCAUGUUAAUUAGAAAACACAGUGUACAUGGAUUUGAGUGGUUUUAUUAUCCAUUACGAUUUGUAAUAAAAGAUCCUGGAGAAAAAACAAAAUAACAUCAACGCAGACAAAAAAAGUUAUACAAUAAAAUUUUUUAAAAAAAGUAAAAAGUUCUUUUACCCCAUCUAACUUAGCCAUAUAAGAAAAGAAGCUACAAAGUUCAGGAGCAGCCAAGAAUACAUCCACUUUGCAAACAAUUGAUUCGUUUCCUUUUCUUCCACCUUUCAUACUCCUUUCUGUUUUCCUUUCUCUUUUCUUCAAGUAUCAUCCAUGAAUCAGUUCCAGCAAUUUGAGGUAACAAUAAAAUCUAGGCUGUUCGGUGUCAUGGUUCAAUGGAUCUGAUACCACAUCUUGGACGGGUACAAGCUUUGCCCGUCCUCCAUACUACUCUGGCAAAGUUUCUUCGCCUAUGUCCUGGAUAAAACCCCUCCUUUCCUCUUCGUUAAUCACGAUCUUAAUCUGUGUCUAUCAUUUAAAAGUUGCUAGUUAAGUUCGAUUUUAGAAAACACAUGUAUUUCAGAAAAAAACAUGUUUACUCGAAAUUUUUGGAUUUGGAAAUCUAAACGCAAUUAUAUGCUACUUUCUGUACCCAUAAUCAAUGAAUAGAUAUUGAGCGAUGCUGUUAUAUGUUUCUGCAAUCAGACAAAUAUGAGCCACAAAUGGCUCAAAUUAAGUGAGAUCUUAGAAUCUUUGAAUUCAUAGAAACAAACACCGGAUCUUCAAUAACUGCUCUUCUGGUUGAUCACAUAAAGAGGCUAACUAUCUGCGUUCUGUAAUCGAUUAAGCAAUAGUACGAAUGGUUUUUUUUCAACUUAUUGGGAUCAUGAUGUGACUGGAAAGUUUUAUUUCUGUUGAAAAUUGAAUUAAUUAGCUUCAUACUCCUGCAGAACAAUAAUCUUCCAGUGGGAAAACAAGAUGGGAAGAAAUGGAAAGAAAAGAUCACUUUCUGUCGACUUCUACAAUCAAUAAAAAGCUCCAUUAAUUGAAAAAAAAAGAAGAAGAAGAAGAUGGAUCUUGUAUUGGUUCGUUGUCUUUAAGUAUUUCUGCACAAUAUUGUCUUGUUUUGACAAGUGAUAGUCGCACAUAGAGGGCAGUCUCUUGCAAGCCUUUCAAAGCAAGAUACAAGAAAACAGAUAUGCUCGAACAGAGAACUUAAAUUGCAUUUGUUUACUUUGACAAGUUUAAUGGCUUCAUCCUACGUAUGGAUGGAAGCAGUACUUUAGUUAUCAUCUGCCUGCUAAUUUUAAGAAAGAUCUUUCAUAUGUUUAAAUUUGCAGAAAUGGUUGCAUAUCAGAAAUACCUUCUCAAGAGUUGCUUUCUCAAGGAAGUAUGAAACCAUCCUCCAUACACUCACAAAGAACCAGGGUAGAUGUACAAUAUAACACUUGGCUAAGCACUCAGGGUAGCAAGCCAACACAAAUAAGAGAUUCGAAUGUAAUAUCGUAACGAGAAAGAAUUGCACAACACCAAGGUGAAUAGUCAUUGUGUCACGGUAAAACAGAACAAGAAUCUUUCUUGAAUUUGAAUGUAGAAAGAUCUGAUCAUUGUCCUUUUCCAUGGAUCCGAAUUCUAUCUGACCUUAAGUUUAAAGAUCUCAGCCGAUAACCUUAAUGAUCCAUGGUUUGACACGAAAACCAUUUGCCAAUAAUGGUCCUAGAAUUACACUUAAAUUAGGGAUAUGAAGAACCUCACUUGUAAAAUUUAAUGGCAGCAAAGUAAUACUUUUUGAACAGCAUAGAAGUCUACUCGGAGAAACUCAAAUUCAACGGAUGUUUCUGCAUGCUGAUUGAAUUUUCUAAGCUUCAUGAAGUCAUUUGCCUAACUCUUGACUGGGAUCAGACUAGAGAAGGAAGACAAACAGGUGUAUGGUCUUGAUUUAUGCCCAUUCUGCAACUCCAAAAUCUGGUUGAAAUUCUAGACUAAGAGCAAGAAUAUUAAAAAAAAAAAAAAAAGUUACGAUAUUAUCAUUAGUCUCCCCAGUUGUGUGAUUUUGAAAUGAUCGUCACUACCAAAAUGUUGAGAUUGACUAGCGCAUAACAGAAAGUUAUCGCUAAAAUAAUUAGAAGCUAAUAUCAAAUGUUUUAAUCCCAGAUCAUCAUUUAUUAUUUUGAACAUAGAUUUCAUUAUGGCUAAUCAAUUUUUGUAUAAUUGCUAGUUCUUUCCACUGAUUAGGUCAUAAGAUAAUUGUUUUCCACAGUGUUUUUAGGAGAAUUGUAAUAUAAUAUUUUGUUAAUAUUAAGAAAUGUUAGAAAGUGAUUCCUGAAAACAGUGUGGUUGAAAAACACUCCACCCAAACGGAUAAUUCAUGUCUGUUUCUUUUUCUAUCUUAGACAGAGGUAAUAUUGGACACUAGAGGAAAGACAUGUAAGGUUGAUCUUUAAAACGGUCAAGUCUGACAUCACCCGAACAAUAAAAAAAGGGGUAAAAUACACUUUGGGCUCCUGUGAUUUAGCAUUUUUCACAUAAUCUCCUCCCGGUUUCAAAAGUUAUACAUAACUCUCUUAUAAUUUGGAUUAAAGUGUCAAAGUGAAGAAAUUUGCAUUUUAUAAUGGAAUCAACUAAAAUGUCAAAAGUACCCCUAUAUAAAAUUAAAUAUUAUUUAUUUAUCACAAGGGAUUAUGUAUAUAUUUUAAAAAUCAUAAUAGAGUUAUAUAGUAAAAUACUAAACCAUAAAGGAGUUACACGCUGAAACAUAAAAUCAUUUGUCAUUAGACUGUGAUACAUGUUAUGUUAUAUAUUUUGUCACUUCACCCAUUUUAGUUUUUAAACAAAGGUAAUUUAGACAUUUUUAUGGAUUCUAUUAUAAAUGAUCAUUUUUAUUAUUUUAACACUUUAAUUCAAAUUAUGAGGGAUUAUAUAUAGUUUUUAAAACUAUAGGUGGGUCAUAUGAAAAAUUACUAAGCCACAUGGUGAUAAAGUGUAUUUUGCCAAAUAAAAAAUGAGGGAUGAGAGCUGACUGAAAUCAUGCAAAAGGAUAACGGCUAGAUCAGCAUCUUUGAAUCAUUCCUAGCUAGUAUACAAGAUGACCAUCAAAAUCUCUGAAAUUUCUUACGUAGAAAAUUGGUGAAGAAGAUUAAGGUGUACACGCAAGUUAAUAGCAGCCAAUCACCCUACGUAAACCCCUAGCUGUGGCACCUUGAAAACACAAUAGCUACUAGUUCACUUGGAAAGUUAGAAACACCAUGAAGUUCAGCCACACCUUGUCCCUUUUGGUUUCGUGCUUCAUUUUAUACUUAACCUUCACCAAUGCUGCAAAUUUCAACAUUAUAAACCAAUGUACCUACACAGUUUGGGCAGCUGCUUCCCCAGGGGGUGGCAGGAGGCUCGACCGAGGCCAAUCAUGGUCCCUAGAUGUGGCUCCUGGCACCACCAACGCUCGGAUUUGGGGCCGAACAAAUUGCAACUUUGAUGCCAAUGGCCAAGGCCGGUGUCAGACAGGUGACUGCAACGGGCGCCUCGAAUGCCAAGGCUAUGGAAAGCCUCCGAAUACACUAGCUGAAUUCUAUGUUUUCAGAACCGGACCGGAUAGCGACUCGGCCGAGGUCAGGGGUCAGGGAUCAAUGGGUUCGACCGGAGGUCGAUAGGGGUCGAACCGGAUGACGUCAUAAAUAAAAAUUAUUUAAAAAUUAAAAUAUUAUAUAUAUAAUAUCUAAUAAUAUAUUGAUAUUAAUAAAGGUAUAUCUAUAUAUAUUUGAUGUUUCAAAUAUAUUUAACAAGAAAAUACAAAGAAAUUAGAACAAUCAAGUAGCAAUUUAUAUUAUUUAAUAAAUAUUAACAAGUUUAGAAUUAAAAUUAUGAAUUUAAUUGAAAAAUAACAUCAAAUUUUAGGACAAUAUUUAUAAAGUAUCAAAUAUUUGAGGUAUAUCAAUAAGUUUUAACAAUUUAGGGGGUCAAAACAUAAUAUUAAAAAGUUUAACUUUUUUUAAAAUAAAUUACUGUUAAACCGGAAAAAUCGGUUUUUUUCCGGUCAAACCCGAUUUUUGACCGGCUUUGACCGGAUUUUAAAUUUCCGGUUUUUUAAUGUGACUCGGAUCGGCUACCUGGCCGGUUCCCGGUUCGACCGGCCGGUCCGGUCCGAGUUUGAAAACAGAGGCUGAAUUCGCCCUAAACCAGCCUAACAACUUAGACUACUUCGACAUUUCCCUCCUUUAUGGUUUCAACAUCCCAUUGGAGUUCAGCUCCGUUACUCCUUGCCAUGAUAUAAGAUGUUCAGCACCUAUUGUCGAUCAAUGCCCAACUCAGCUAAGAACUCC